AGUGAACGCUGGCGGUAGGCCUAACACAUGCAAGUCGAACGGCAGCACAGUAAGAGCUUGCUCUUACGGGUGGCGAGUGGCGGACGGGUGAGGAAUACAUCGGAAUCUACUUUUUCGUGGGGGAUAACGUAGGGAAACUUACGCUAAUACCGCAUACGACCUACGGGUGAAAGCAGGGGAUCUUCGGACCUUGCGCGAUUGAAUGAGCCGAUGUCGGAUUAGCUAGUUGGCGGGGUAAAGGCCCACCAAGGCGACGAUCCGUAGCUGGUCUGAGAGGAUGAUCGGCCACACUGGAACUGGGACACGGUCCAGACUCCUACGGGAGGCAGCAGUGGGGAAUAUUGGACAAUGGGCGCAAGCCUGAUCCAGCCAUACCGCGUGGGUGAAGAAGGCCUUCGGGUUGUAAAGCCCUUUUGUUGGGAAAGAAAAGCAGCAGGUUAAUACCCCGCUGUUCUGACGGUACCCAAAGAAUAAGCACCGGCCAACUUCGUG
rnacentral:rRNA from 1 species